rnacentral:rRNA from 1 species
AAUAUUGGUCAAUGGAGGCAACUCUGAACCAGCCACGUCGCGUGAAGUAUGACGGCCCUACGGUGCGUGAACUUUGUGCUGCGAGGAAUGAAGCUGGUCCCGGGUGACUUUUUGCAUGUACUUUAUGAAUAAGGAUCGGCUAACUCCGUGCCAGCAGCCGCGGUACUAGGGAGGAUCCAAGCGUUAUCCGGAUUUAUUGGGUUUAAAGGGUGCGCAGGCGGAAGAUUAAGUAGGCGGUGAAAUUUUGCAGCUCAACUGUAAAAGUGCCAUCGAUACUGGUUUUCUUGAGUGUGGAUGAAGUAGGCGGAAUUUGUGGUGUAGCGGUGAAAUGCAUAGAUAUCACGAGGAACUCCGAUUGCGCAGGCAGCUUACUAGGCCAUAACUGACGCUCAGGCACGAAGGCGUGGGGAUCAAACAGG